UUAACUGAUUUAGCUAAUCUGCUCAGACUACAAUCUUCAGACAGAGUUCGAGAUGUCUUCGGCGGGCGCGGGCCCGGGGGCAGAAGCCCCCCGGCGGCCGUGAGGCGGGCCCGCCAAAGCAACAAGGUAUAAUAAACACGGGUGGGAGGUUGGACCCAGAGGGCCCUCACUCGGUAAUGAUCCUUCCGCAGGUUCACCUACGGAAA
rnacentral:misc_RNA from 1 species